rnacentral:rRNA from 1 species
AUUGAACGCUGGCGGCAGGCCUAACACAUGCAAGUCGAGCGCGCGGCGGACGGGUGAGUAAUGUCUGGGUAUCUGCCCGAUAGAUGGUGAUCACUACUGGAAACGGUAGCUACUACCGCAUACUAUCAGAUGAACCCAUAUGGGAUUAGCUAGUAGGUGGGGUAACGGCUCACCUAGGCGACGAUCUCUAGCUGGUCUGAGAGGAUGAUCAGCAACACUGGGACUGAGACACGGUCCAGAAGCCUACGGGAGGCAGCAGGGGGGAAUAGGGAACAAUGGGCGCAAGCAUGAUGCAGCCAUGCCGAGUGUAUGAAGAAGGCAUUAGGGUUGUAAAGUACUUGCAGCGGGGAGGCGUUACCCGCAGAAGAAGCAACGGCUAAGUCCGUGCCAGCAGCCGCGGUAAUUC